rnacentral:rRNA from 1 species
UACGAAGGGGGCUAGCGUUGCUCGGAAUCACUGGGCGUAAAGGGUGCGUAGGCGGGUUUUUAAGUCAGGGGUGAAAUCCUGGAGCUCAACUCCAGAACUGCCUUUGAUACUGAAGAUCUUGAGUUCGGGAGAGGUGAGUGGAACUGCGAGUGUAGAGGUGAAAUUCGUAGAUAUUCGCAAGAACACCAGUGGCGAAGGCGGCUCACUGGCCCGAUACUGACACUCAGGUGCGACAGCGUGGGGAGCAAACAGG